UCCCAGACUCCUACGGGAGGCAGCAGUGGGGAAUAUUGCACAAUGGGGGAAACCCUGAUGCAGCGACGCCGCGUGAAGGAAGAAGUAUCUCGGUAUGUAAACUUCUCUCAGCAGGGAAGAAAACAGGCGGUACCUGACUAAGAAGCCCCGGCUAACUACGUGCCAGCAGCCGCGGUAAUACGUAGGGGGCAAGCGUUAUCCGGAUUUACUGGGUGUAAAGGGAGCGUAGACGGCAGCGCAAGUCUGGAGUGAAAUCCCGGGGCUUAACCCCGGAACUGCUUUGGAAACUGUGCAGCUAGAGUGCAGGAGAGGUAAGUGGAAUUCCUAGUGUAGCGGUGAAAUGCGUAGAUAUUAGGAGGAACACCAGUGGCGAAGGCGGCUUACUGGACUGUAACUGACGUCGAGGCUCGAAAGCGUGGGGAGCAAACAGGAUUAGAUACCCCAGUACAA
rnacentral:rRNA from 1 species